rnacentral:rRNA from 1 species
AUUGAACGCUGGCGGCAGGCCUAACACAUGCAAGUCGAGCGGAUGAGAGGAGCUUGCUUCUCGAUUCAGCGGCGGACGGGUGAGUAAUGCCUAGGAAUCUGCCUGGUAGUGGGGGACAACGUUUCGAAAGGAACGCUAAUACCGCAUACGUCCUACGGGAGAAAGCGGGGGACCUUCGGGCCUUGCGCUAUCAGAUGAGCCUAGGUCGGAUUAGCUAGUUGGUGAGGUAAUGGCUCACCAAGGCGACGAUCCGUAACUGGUCUGAGAGGAUGAUCAGUCACACUGGAACGGAGACGCGGUCCAGACUCCUACGGGAGGCAGCAGUGGGGAAUAUUGGACAAUGGGCGAAAGCCUGAUCCAGCCAUGCCGCGUGUGUGAAGAAGGUCUUCGGAUUGUAAAGCACUUUAAGUUGGGAGGAAGGGUUGUAGAUUAAUACUCUGCAAUUUUGACGUUACCGACAGAAUAAGCACCGGCUAACUCUGUGCCAGCAGCCGCCGUAAUAC